CAGUUACUCAGUGUAAAUCUUUUCCUCCAUUAAAUGCACUACCCAAGGAAAAAAAGGUGUCUUAUUCAUUCCACGUUUUUGAAAAAGAUUCAACAUUAGAAACUGCGGCUGAAUCAUGUUUGCCAACUCUUGAAACACUUACAGCUAAAGGUUGUUUGCAAUAUACAGUUGUUGUAAAGACCAAGAAAACUACCAAUAAUAUUAAACGACUACGCUCUGACUAUGUUGAGUUGAAGAAGAUUCCACCAUGUAAGUUCUGCAAUGCAAAAAGAUUUUGAGUAUGAGCCUCCUGGAUUCUGUUCUGGAAAAGGUACGAUCAAGCUAACCUCUUAUAGAAUGCCAACUAAUCUGAGAAAUUUAUAUACGAGAAACGAUGCAGAAUCCAAGCAUUUUCAAACAUAUAUCCGAACAUAUAACAAUUUAUUUGCCUUUACAUCGCUUGGUGUUAAUUACGACAAAGAUUUAGCUCAAAGAAAUCAUGGUAUCUACACAUUUAAAGUUCAGGGGCAGAUGUAUCACCUGAUAGAUGCCUUAUAUCCCAAGGAAAGAAAAGCAACAAAAUUUACAACUGUACUUUUAUGAUAAAGCAAAUGAGCUUCAAAACAAAAUGUCUUGUUCCGACAGGCUACAUGAAUCAAUAGUAAUGGAACUUAUGACUAUACUAAAAGACAAUCCAUACUCAAUGUUUCUCCAAUCUUUGACAAACACACCAAAACUUGCAAAACUUUCAUAUAGCACUAAAAUGUGAUGCUGGAUUGGAUCAAUGAGUGUAUAAUCUACCUUCUACUACUGAAGUUGCAGCAAUAUGGACUGAUCAAAAUGAUGGUCGUGCUACUCAUGCACCGCAUGUUCAAAUUUAUACUCAGUGACAAGAUACAACGAGUAAACUGUUAUUUUGGUUGCUAUGAUCCUUUACAGUACCCUUUGUUAUUAUUGCCACAUGGACAAGGUGGGUGGCAUUGUGGUAUUAAAAAAUUUUACAAUGGGAAAAAUGUUUCUACAAAUCCUACUUUGUCCGAGCUUGAACAAUUACCUAACAUAAAUUUUUUUUGCCUCUGUUGAUGGAUACCUAGACAUGGAAGAUGAGACUUUACAAAAAGAAAAACGCAAAAGAGACGCAGUUUCGGUUCGUGAAUAU